rnacentral:rRNA from 1 species
AUUGAACGCUAGCGGCAGGCCUAACACAUGCAAGUCGAACGAGUGGCGGACGGGUGAGUCAUGUCUGGGAAACUGCCUGAUGGAGGGGGAUCACUACUGGAAACGGUAGCUAAUACCGCAUACCAUCAGAUGUGCCCAGAUGGGAUUAGCUAGUUGGUGGGGUAACGGCUCACCAAGGCGACGAUCCGUAGCUGGUUGGAGAGGAUGACCAGCCACACUGGAACUGAUAAAGGGUCCAGACGCCUACGGUAGGCAGCAGUGGGGAAUAUUGUACAAGGGGCGAAAGCCUGAUGCAGCCAUGCCGCGUGUAUGAAGAAGGCCUUCGGGUUGUAAAGUACUUUCAGCGGGGAGGCGUUACCCGCAGAAGAAGCACCGGCUAACUCCGUGCCAGCAGCCGCGGUAAUAC